AAAACACCCCCGAGUCAAGCGACAGCGCCUCCCAUCCCCAUCUCGAUCCGCCGCCUCCCCGCCGCCGGCCCGCAUCCUCCACCGCGCCAUCCGCCCCGCACUGCUGCCUGCCUUCCCUCCGCCGCGCCCUCCUCCCCGUGCACGGUUCGCCGACGCCGAGGCCCAGGCUGCCGCGCUCCGGGCCCGCGCCGGCUGGCUCGAGCGCAUGCCGCCAACCGCGACGGGCUGCUCGACACGCUCCUCGCCGCCACGGGCAACGGACGGUAGGACGAGGAGAGGGAGGUGGAGGCAGCGGAGGAGCCGGUAGGAUGACGAGAGGAAGGUUGAGGCGGCGGAAGAGCCAGUAGGAGUAGGAGGGGGAAGUGGAGGCAGCGGAGGAGGAGACGGGGAUGACGGGGACAGAUCGGCUACACGCCGGAGGACGAGGGCAUCGCACGGCCUACCGAUUCCUUCCUCCCCGUGCCCUGGUUACAAGGCCGUCGCUGCCGUCGCCCAACACCAACCGCCUUGCCCCGAUUAGCUCUUGGAGAUGCGGACGACAGGAUGUGCUCCAGCGCCGCCGCCUACGAGCGCCUCCCAGACGAUGAGUCGACAACAAAGCUCGGGGACGUGAUAUGGCGCUCGGUGUAGGUGGCCAUGGUGGACCUGAAGAAGCUGGCUGAGAUAAGCGAUGGGUGAGCUGCUGCUCAAAUGUCCCAUAGCAUACCGGCUGCAGCACCCCGAGCUCCUCAUUAUCUGCUCCAUGAUCAAGAUCCAUCGCCACCGACAGCCGCGCACUUGGAUGCAAGGCUUGCCCGGACGACUCUGAACCGAAACCAAUCCUAGACUGGGAGUUGUAUGCAUCGUCCAUUUGUGCAUAUCCAACCAAAGCACUUAAUUCACAGUCCGCAAAAUAGAACGACUAUGUUCAGCCACUAUCAGACUUUGGUGGUGUACCCCGGCUGCCAAACCAUGCUUUGCCAACCUACUAGAGGAAAGGCGAGGCUCACCAAGGGAUGAUCCUUCCACCGGAAGGGUAAUUAAUUUGCAUGCCUGAUUAUCGAAAAAAGAAGCCCUUCUGAACAUUACUUAUCCUCGAUGAGGGGAGACCGGCCAAAAGAGGAGCAAGCAAAUGAUAAGUUCGUACUCAACAUUUUGACAUUCAACAUGUAUGUACUACAAUUUCAGAAGGUCAAUAAUACCCAAUGCAUUGCCUUCCAUGAACUUUGCCAGCGGAAGAAGAAUAUCCGUCGAGCCGUCCAUCUCUUGAGGCGGCUACACCGGAGGUGGCAGAGGCGUCCGAUCGAACUCAGGUAGAGGCCGGAGGUUUGUUUCUCGGACAUGCCAGCAAUCACUCUCGAUGACACCAAUAAUGUGACGUCAUGAUUCGUGAAGGCCACCACAACUCAUCUUCAAGACCUCCUCUGCUAUCGUGUGUCGCGUUGUGCUCGUGCUAUUCCUAAUUUGGAUCAAUUGUAGACCGUGUCCUUGUAGAACACAAUUCAAUGGAGUGCCCAACCCGGAUUGUUGCUCUCUGCUAUAAGAAGGAAGGGUAGUUGGCUGGAAUCUCCAUCAUGUCAAUUUUGCACGAAACAUCCAAUGUCUUCGCCGAGUUCGUUGGAGGAAGAAGCAUCGAGUUCGCCGGAGGUACAAGAACAUCCGUCGAGCACUCCAAUGUCACCUGCAGCGGCUACACCAGAGGUCCUUAAGAUGAGUGAUGAACAUCCGUCAAGCCAUCCAAUGUUGCAUGUGGCGGCUACACCAGAGAUUCAAAGAUGAAGUACAUAGUAAAGGUAGGGGCAAGGGGCAUCAGACGUGCUAAUUUUUCUGAACUCUACAAUGGAGCCUGUGUUUCUGAAUUUCUGUCAAAGUGUCAACUCUGGAUCAUACAUAGUAGUGCUUUUUUGAUAGUAGGUGGUCUGAAUUUCUGUCAAUGGUUUGAAUUUCUCAAAGUGACUACUGUAGAUCGUACAUAGUAGUGCUCUUUUGAUAGUAGGUGGCCGAAGUGUCAAACGUUGGAACAAGCAUGAAAAGAAUAUCAACAUCUCUUUGAUUGAUUGCA